rnacentral:lncRNA from 1 species
GUUCAAGCAAGUUUGCUGCUGUUGGAUUUCAUAAAACUUUGACAGAUGAACUGGCUGCCUUACAAAUAACUGGAGUCAAAACAACAUGUCUGUGUCCUAAUUUCGUAAACACUGGCUUCAUCAAAAAUCCAAGUACAAGUUUGGGACCCACUCUGGAACCUGAGGAAGUGGUAAACAGGCUGAUGCAUGGGAUUCUGACUGAGCAGAAGAUGAUUUUUAUUCCAUCUUCUAUAGCUUUUUUAACAACAUUGGAAAGGAUCCUUCCUGAGCGUUUCCUGGCAGUUUUAAAACGAAAAAUCAGUGUUAAGUUUGAUGCAGUUAUUGGAUAUAAAAUGAAAGCGCAAUAAGCACCUAGUUUUCUGAAAACUGAUUUACCAGGUUUAGGUUGAUGUCAUCUAAUAGUGCCAGAAUUUUAAUGUUUGAACUUCUGUUUUUUCUAAUUAUCCCCAUUUCUUCAAUAUCAUUUUUGAGGCUUUGGCAGUCUUCAUUUACUACCACUUGUUCUUUAGCCAAAAGCUGAUUACAUAUGAUAUAAACAGAGAAAUACCUUUAGAGGUGACUUUAAGGAAAAUGAAGAAAAAGAACCAAAAUGACUUUAUUAAAAUAAUUUCCAAGAUUAUUUGUGGCUCACCUGAAGGCUUUGCAAAAUUUGUACCAUAACCGUUUAUUUAACAUAUAUUUUUAUUUUUGAUUGCACUUAAAUUUUGUAUAAUUUGUGUUUCUUUUUCUGUUCUACAUAAAAUCAGAAACUUCAAGCUCUCUAAAUAAAAUGAAGGACUAUAUCUAGUGGUAUUUCACAAUGAAUAUCAUGAACUCUCAAUGGGUAGGUUUCAUCCUACCCAUUGCCACUCUGUUUCCUGAGAGAUACCUCACAUUCCAAUGCCAAACAUUUCUGCACAGGGAAGCUAGAGGUGGAUACACGUGUUGCAAGUAUAAAAGCAUCACUGGGAUUUAAGGAGAAUUGAGAGAAUGUACCCACAAAUGGCAGCAAUAAUAAAUGGAUCACACU